GCAACCUGAGCUCAGGCGUGACUACCCGCUGAACUUAAGCAUAUCACUUAGCGGAGGAAAAGAAACUAA
rnacentral:rRNA from 1 species